rnacentral:rRNA from 2 species
UGGGGAAUAUUGGUCAAUGGGGGCAACCCUGAACCAGCAAUGCCGCGUGAAGGAAGAAGGCCUUCGGGUUGUAAACUUCUUUGACCAGGGACGAUAAUGACGGUACCUGGAAAACAAGCCACGGCUAACUACGUGCCAGCAGCCGCGGUAAUACGUAGGUGGCGAGCGUUGUCCGGAUUUACUGGGUGUAAAGGGCGUGUAGGCGGGACUGCAAGUCAGAUGUGAAAUCCAGGGGCUUAACCCUUGAACUGCAUUUGAAACUGUGGUUCUUGAGUGAUGGAGAGGCAGGCGGAAUUCCUUGUGUAGCGGUGAAAUGCGUAGAUAUAAGGAGGAACACCAGUGGCGAAGGCGGCUUUCUGGACGAUAACUGACGCUGAGGCGCGAAAGCGUGGGUAGCAAACAGG